rnacentral:rRNA from 1 species
CCUACGGGAGGCAGCAGUAGGGAAUAUUGCUCAAUGGGGGAAACCCUGAAGCAGCAACGCCGCGUGAAGGAUGAAGGUUUUCGGGUUGUUAACCCCUUUUUUUAGAGAAGAUAAUGACGGUAUCUAACGAAUAAGCAGCGGCUAACUAGGUGACAGCAGCCGCGGUAAUACGGCGGGUGCCAGCGUUACUCGGAAUAACUGGGCGUUAAGGGCGAGUAGGCGGGAUAGCAAGUCAGAUGGGAAAUCCUUGGGCUUAACCGUAGAAGUGCAGUUGAAACUGUCAGUCUAGAGUAUGGGAGAGGUAGGUGGAAUGCGUGGUGUAGGGGUGAAAGCCGUAGAGAUCAAGAGGAAUACUGAUUGCGAAGGCGGCGUACGAGAACCUAACUGACGCUGAGGCGCGAAAGCGUGGGGAGCAAACAGGAUUAGAUACCCUGGUAGUC